UCCCUCUUAGCUCAGUGGUAGAGCGCGCCACUCGUAUGCCAGUCAUCCGUGAGUGCGAUGGUGAGGUCAGUCGUUCAAUCCGGCUAGCGGGAA